rnacentral:lncRNA from 1 species
UAAAGCACCUGUACAUCUGUAACAUGAUGAAUAACACAAUAUCUGAACAGAUUUGUCUGAAUAGUACAAAAUGUAAUUUGCAUAGAUUCUCAAGAUUUUUCUGUUUCUCAAUUAAAUUUUAUUAUUACUUCUAAUAUUAACAUAGUCAUUGUCUUGAACAUGAAAGUAUUAGGGGGGAGGCAAAGGGAGGGGAGGCGAGGUGAGGCAAGGCGAGUUCAGUCAGAAGGGACCCACAAAAUGGCGUCCGAGGCGAGGUGAGACGAGGUGGGGCAAGGCAAGGAGAGGAGGGGAGAGGAGCGGAAAGGAGAGGCGAGUUCAGUCAGAAGGGCCCACAAAAUGGUGUGAGAGGAGGGGAGGGGAGGCGAGGCAAGGCGAGGCGAAGCGAGUUCAGUCAGAAGGGACCCACAAAAUUGCCUCCGAGGGAGAAGAAACAAUACAACGUUGAAUGAUAAAUUAGAAAUCAGAGAAUGAGAAAUGCAUGAGAGAUAACAAGUGCCCAGCAAGGAUCACGGGAACAAGGCAGGCAGAGGAGCUCUGGUGACCUGAGCACUGAAAAUGAAGCUGACAGAACUGACUUCUCUAAAGCCCAUCAGAGGAGAUACUGUUUGGGAUGUUCAUAAAGGACAUUAAGUAAGACUUAGCCUAUAUGAUCAUGAGUCACAUACAGUUUAUUUCUUUUGUUAUGAAACAUUUAAAAACCAAUGGAGUCAAAAAAACCAAACCAAACCAAAACAAACAAACAACAAAAAAACUGAACCUUAACUAUAUAUUGACUUAAACAGUUUGAGUCUGAAUAAAUACAGAGGGCAGAAGGGGAAGUUAAAUGACAUAUUUAAAGACAGGGAGAUGUCCAUUUAUAUAUUGAAAAUGUUUUGGAGAGAAGAAA